UUAGUUAUAUAAUGUUGAUGACCCCCCACCUAAAGUUCCAUUCCAAUAUCCAUUUGAAUUCCCAUUUCCCAUGCUUUGGCCAUUCUCCCUUGAUGAAUGUUGUUGAUUCAACACUCCAAAAGGGAACAUGAUUCCCUCAUUAUCUUCUUGAUUCCCCUGAAAGCCUCCUCCAUACUUGAUUCCAUUCCCUUGAAAAGGGAAACCCAUUGUUGGCUUGAAAUCUUGUAGAUUGAACCUUGUUUCAUUGAACAUUGCAUUUGAUUCAGAAGUCAAAGAAGAAGACAAAAAGUUGACAUUUCUAUUCUCAAUCUUGGGUAGCUUUAGAAACUGAGAGAACCCCCCAUGAUGGUAUUCUUGUUGAGAACUCAAGUUAAGAUCUUGAGCUUCAAGGGUGGUGAAACUUUGAGAAGAGAAUUGUGGGAGAUCAAUUGGUUUUGAGAUGGAUGGUGUUGAUGAAGAUAUCGGCCGCUUGUUCUUUCUUGAGCCGCCACCCACGGGAACACUUCGGAGCGACCCACCUUUAGUCCAAUACCUCUUACAAGCCUUGCAAAAGUAUCUUGGUUGAGUUAAGCUAUAAUUGUUGUAGUAACAAAACUUGGUGUUGGUUGAAUUGCAUCUUGGACACUUUAGUGGUUGUUCAUGUUGUGGCUUUACCUUCUUUUCUUGCACUUGGUUAUCAUUCAUAACAUCCUAAAAUAUCAACAACAACAAACAAACAAACAAACAAUGAAUGACUUUCUUUCUUUCUGUCUUUAAAUGAUCCCGAAAAAGGCGAAAAAGAAAGUAACUUGCUUUUGCUAGAAAAGAACCGAACCGAACCGAACCAAACAUCAUCGGUUAACAAAACUAUUUCAUACCAAACCUAGGUAGACAAACAAGUUAAAUACUUAUUGUAAAAGAUUAAAACAAAACUUACCUUUGGCCAUUGAGCAGCAUCCAUGAGUUGAAGGGGUUCCAAAAGAGAGUUUGAAUAAUGUGUGUGAUUUAGAGAAUUGAAGGAGAGAAUGUUAUGGGAAAUUCUUGUGUUUUGGCUUUAUUUGGUGAGUAAGAUUUGUAUAAUGAGUGGUGACAGAAACAUGGGAUUUUCUUUUUGACUUACUAUUGUGAAAUCAAACUAUUCUAAUGCUGCUUUUUGUUGCUAUCAUCUUUGACCUCUAAUGGAGUGGAGGAAAAUGGUUGAUGACAUUGCUCUUCCCAUAUUUUCCAAAUAGGUUUUCUAGCUUUCUAAUUAAGACUCACAGAAAAUUUUGAAAUGAUUAUCUACAGUUAAAUGUUGUUAUUUAUGUAUAAUCAAAUUAUAUCACUAUAAUCAUAUGCGUGGACAAAUUUCACGUGGUAACAUAAUGUCUUAAAAUUUACAUGAAACUAAAGUAGAUGUAUGAAAAAAAUUCAGCGAUUCGACAAAUAUUUCACAUAUAGUAAAAUUUUCCAGUGUUAUAUACUUAUAUACAACAAAAACUUUGUGAUCAUAUAUAAAAUAGGGUAAAGUUAAAAAUAAAACAUAUAUAUUUUGUGAGAACCAUAAGACUCGAUCAAAAACCAUUAAAAUUCAAAUUUUCUUUUUUACUCUUACCAUUGUUAUUAGUAUUACAACAUCAAAAAGAUAUUUGCGCAUUUAAAUUUAAAUGCGUACGAAAAUAGCUUUUUUUACAUAUGCGUAAGUUUACCAUUUAUACAUACAUAAGUUUUUACCAUUUACACACGUGUAAAUGGUUUGUUAAGAGUAAUUUGAAGAUGUUGGAUGAAUUAAUUGGUGAGUAAAUUCUUCUUUUAAUGUUGCAUUUUAGUAAUAAACUAAUAAUAAUGACAGUGUAGAAAAGGUAUUUGAUUUUGCUUGAUUUUUUAGAACUUCUCACAAUAUUU
rnacentral:lncRNA from 1 species